ACUCUCGUGCCAAGCAUGUCUCUCCAAACGGCUGCUCUCUGGCAUUCCUCACACUCCCCCUGAAGUUCAUCUAAGAUCUUCAUUCUUCAAAGGCGGAGGCCCGGCUCGCUGCAAAACGGGCGGCCCGCGCGGAGGCUCGCGAGAUCCGCAUGAAGGAGCUGGAGCGGCAGCAGAAGGAGGUAGAAGAGAGACCAGAAAAAGAUUUUACUGAGAAGGGGUCUCGUAGCAUGCCGGGCCUGUCUGCAGCCACGCUGGCCUCUCUGGGUGGGACUUCCUCUCGGAGAGGCAGCGGAGACACCUCCAUCUCCAUCGACACUGAGGCAUCCAUCAGGGAAAUCAAGGACUCUCUAGCAGAAGUUGAAGAGAAAUAUAAGAAGGCUAUGGUUUCCAAUGCUCAGCUAGACAAUGAAAAGACAAACUUCAUGUACCAGGUUGAUACCCUAAAAGAUAUGUUGCUGGAGCUUGAAGAACAGCUAGCUGAAUCUAGGCGGCAGUACGAAGAGAAAAACAAAGAAUUUGAAAGGGAAAAACACGCCCACAGUAUACUGCAAUUUCAGUUUGCUGAAGUCAAGGAGGCCCUGAAGCAAAGAGAG
rnacentral:sRNA from 1 species